rnacentral:lncRNA from 1 species
CAAGCUCCACAAACUUGCCAUGCCAAAAGAAAAUAGGAGAAGCCUUGUAUGGACUUUAGGUUUUUUGCUUGACCAAGAAGCAACCUAUCUUGGACACAAGGCAACUCACUUGAUCUUGGAUCAAGUUGAGUUUGAUUUGGAUCAAAGAAGGUUAAACCUCUCAUUUGUCAAGACCAACCAUAAGACAUUAACUCAUUGGCCAAAAA